rnacentral:rRNA from 1 species
UGGGUGAUCUGCCCUGCACUUCGGGAUAAGCCCGGGAAACUGGGUCUAAUACCGGAUAGUACUGCGCGGUGCAUGCCGUGUGGUGGAAAGAUUUAUCGGUGCAGGAUGGGCCCGCGGCCUAUCAGCUUGUUGGUGGGGUAAUGGCCUACCAAGGCGACGACGGGUAGCCGGCCUGAGAGGGCGACCGGCCACACUGGGACUGAGACACGGCCCAGACUCCUACGGGAGGCAGCAGUGGGGAAUAUUGCACAAUGGGCGCAAGCCUGAUGCAGCGACGCCGCGUGAGGGAUGACGGCCUUCGGGUUGUAAACCUCUUUCAGCAGGGACGAAGCGCAAGUGACGGUACCUGCAGAAGAAGCACCGGCCAACUACGUGCCAGCAGCCGCGGUAAUACGUAGGGUGCAAGCGUUGUCCGGAAUUACUGGGCGUAAAGAGCUCGUAGGCGGUUUGUCGCGUCGUCUGUGAAAACCAGCAGCUCAACUGUUGGCUUGCAGGCGAUACGGGCAGACUUGAGUAUUUCAGGGGAGACUGGAAUUCCUGGUGUAGCGGUGAAAUGCGCAGAUAUCAGGAGGAACACCGGUGGCGAAGGCGGGUCUCUGGGAAAUAACUGACGCUGAGGAGCGAAAGCGUGGGUAGCGAACAGGAUUAGAUACCCUGGUAGUCCACGCCGUAAACGGUGGGCGCUAGGUGUGGGUUUCCUUCCACGGGAUCCGUGCCGUAGCUAACGCAUUAAGCGCCCCGCCU